rfam:Ovis aries breed Texel chromosome 2, whole genome shotgun sequence.
AAACAGGCUCUCCUAAGAGCCAUUCUUAUCUGACUCAGAGAAUCU